rnacentral:rRNA from 1 species
UACAGAGGUCCCAAGCGUUGUUCGGAUUCACUGGGCGUAAAGGGUGCGUAGGUGGUGAGGUAAGUCGGAUGUGAAAGCUCGGAGCUCAACUCCGAAAUGGCAUUGGAAACUACCUUGCUCGAGGGUUGGAGGGGGGACUGGAAUACUUGGUGUAGCAGUGAAAUGCGUAGAUAUCAAGUGGAACACCAGUGGCGAAGGCGAGUCCCUGGAUAACUCCUGACACUGAGGCACGAAAGCUAGGGGAGCAAACAGG